rnacentral:rRNA from 1 species
AGCGAACGCUGGCGGCAGGCUUAACACAUGCAAGUCGAGCGGGCCCUUCGGGGUCAGCGGCAGACGGGUGAGUAACGCGUGGGAACGUGCCCUUCGGUUCGGAAUAACUCAGGGAAACUUGAGCUAAUACCGGAUACGCCCUUCUGGGGAAGGGCUUGACUGCCGAAGGAUCGGCCCGCGUCUGAUUAGCUAGUUGGUGAGGUUACGGCUCACCAAGGCGACGAUCAGUAGCUGGUCUGAGAGGAUGAUCAGCCACACUGGGACUGAGACACGGCCCAGACUCCUACGGGAGGCAGCAGUGGGGAAUAUUGGACAAUGGGGGCAACCCUGAUCCAGCCAUGCCGCGUGAGUGAUGACGGCCUUAGGGUUGUAAAGCUCUUUUCUCCGGGACGAUAAUGACGGUACCGGAGGAAUAAGCCCCGGCUAACUUCGUGCCAGCAGCCGCGGUAA